rnacentral:tRNA from 1 species
CAGGGAGACAACAAAAUGUAAAUAUUAAUUUUGUCACCUUAGGUCGAUCGGUACCUCAGAUUCUUAAUUAUUAAGAAUUUCAGUCUCUAAGUUUUUUCUAGGUCACACCCAUUACUUUUCCCUGGGCCAUUAGCUCAGGUGGUUAGAGCGCACCCCUGAUAAGGGUGAAGUCCCUGGUUCAAGUCCAGGAUGGCCCAUAUCUCUAUGUUGGAAAUAUAGCUCAGUUGGUAGAGCGCCUGCUUUGCAAGCAGGAUGUCAGCGGUUCGAGUCCGCUUACCUCCACUGAUCACCACCUCUUCCAUAACCGGUAGAAAGGAAAUUUUUUGAGUUGUGAUCAAAUUCUGAAAGAAUCUAGCUUCCUAAUGAAAUCAUUAAGAUGCUGGACUCAUUGAAUUAAUUUCAUUGUUUUCAGAGAACCUUGACAACUGCAUAGAUUAUUUUUAAAGACAAUAAGCAUCUUUAAUGAUGCAGAUUUAUUAUUUGUGCAAAUGCAUUAAUAACAAUUCUAUUAAGCUGAUGCUUCAAUUUUUGAAGUUAUU